UUUGGCUAGCUUUGUGGGAGGUUUAAAAGAAGAAAUUAGGCUUAUGGUGAGAAUGUUUAGGCCAGCAACACUAUCAAAUGCUUUGGAAAUUACCAGAUUAUAGGAGCAAAUCUUGAAUUAUAACCAGAAACCUGCAUCCAACAACAGACCCCAUUAUAACACUUAUAAAGCAAAUUACACCUCUUAUUCUGGUCCCACACAAUCUAAAUUCACUUUCAACAAUCAGUUUUACCCCUAUGCACCCCCAAAACCCCCUAUUGGAGAACAAUCUGCCACUGCCAAACAACCUACCCUUUCUCAGAAACCAGCCUGUAUAGAAACCAAACACUAAUGUGAGUACUUCUAUUAUUAGACAGCCCAGACCUUGCUUUAGAUGUGGAGAGAAGUACUUCCCUGGCCACUAAUAUAGACAAAAAUCUGUAAUGGCUGUUGAAAUUGAGAAUGAGGGAGCAAUAGCUUUUCAAUUACAAGACCAAGUAGUUUUGGAGGGAGAAGAAAUGCAGCGUGAGGUGUUAGAAAGUGAGUUAGUGAAUCCACCUGUAGACGCCACUCUUUCCAUACAUGCAUUGGAGGGCAAACAAGGAAAUAAAACCAUUAGGAUGAGUGGGCAGUAUAAAAAUAGAGAAUUAAUAAUUUUAAUUGAUAGUGGUAGCACUCACAGUUUUAUGGAUGCCAAGGUAGUUGAAGAAUUGAAGGUGCCCAUCAUUGGAGUGCCUGCUUUUUCUGUGACAGUAGUUGAUGGCAGGAAAAUGCUGAACAAUACCAUUUGUCCAGCUUUCAGCUGGAAGAUGAAUCAAUAUUCUUUCUGUUUUGAUCUUAGGGUUCUAGAAAUGGGGAGCUUUGAUAUAAUCCUGCGUGUGGACUGGAUGGCAACUUUUAAUCCAGUUUUAUUUGAGCUGUCCAGGAUUAGCUUCUUUAAAGAUGGCAAGCUGGUAAUUUUGCAAGGCAUAUUGUCUGGAGAUGCUUCUCCUAAACUGCUGAAUGGUGGCAGCUAUGAGCAGUUGAUGCAAAAAAAAUGAGAGAAUUUCAAGAUUUCUCUAUUUUGUGUUCAAGCCAUUUCUUUAUUCGAGUAUUACAAUAUGACAGUUACUAUGGAAUCAGGUACUUUCUCAGCUGCUUUGCAAUCACUUUUACAAAAAUAUAGCUGCAUUUUUGAGAAUCCAAAGGGUUUACCCCCUUUUAGGAGUCACAAUCACUCCAUUCCUUUGCUGCCCAAUACUCAGGCUGUCAAUGUUAGGCCAUACAGAUACCCUUAUUUUCAGAAGGCUGAGAUAGAAAGAUUAGUAACAGAGAUGCUGGAUUCUGGGAUCAUUCAGCCCAGCACUAGCCCUCAUGCAUCCCCUGUGUUAUUGGUGAAGAAAAAAGAUGGCACCUGGCAUUUUUGUAUUGACUAUAGGAGAUUGAAUGACAUUACUAUCAAAGAUAAAUUUCCCAUUCCCAUAAUUGAUGACCUACUAGAUGAACUUCAAGGAGCCAAACUUUUCUCCAAAUUUGACCUUAGAAGUGGCUACCAUUAGUUAGGAUGCAACCCCAAGAUAUGCUCAUGCAAAAGACAGCCUUUAGGAUUCAUCAUGGUCAUUUUGAGUUCAUUGUCAUGCCUUUUGGGCUUACUAAUGCCCCAGCUACCUUCCAAGCCUUAAUGAAUCACAUAUUUCAUCCUUAUCUCAGAAAAUUUGUUUUCGUUUUCUUUGAUGACAUCCUUGUUUUUAGUAACCUUUCUAUGUACAACACCUUGAGGUAGUGUUUGAGAUCCUUGAGCAACAACAACUAUAUGCCAAAUUAUCUAAGUGCUCUUUUGGGAAAACAGAAAUUGAAUACUUGGGUCAUCUUUCUAGAGAAGGGGUUGCUACAGAUCCUAGCUAAAUGAAAGCCAUGGUCUCUUGGCCCACACCUCAAUCGGUAAAAGACUUGAGGAGUUUCUUUGGUUUAUGUGGCUAUUUCAAAAAAUUUGUGAGGAAUUAUGGCAUUAUGAGUAAGCCUCUCACAAAUUUAUUGAAAAAAGAAGCCUUCCAGUGGACAAAAAUAGCUCGGCAGACCUUUGAAAAUAUGAGAACAGAAAUGGCUCAAGCUCCAAUCUCAGUAUUACGUAAAUUCACUAAGCCCUGUAACAUUGAAACUGAUGCUAUUAGUCUUGGUAUGGGGCAAUCUUACAGCAAGGACAUCCUAUUGCCUAUAUUUCUAAAGCAUUUGGUCCAAGAAGCCAAGGACUUUCAGUCUAUAAAAAGGAAUUAUUGGCCAUAACUUUUGCAGUGUCCAAAUGGAGGUAUUAAUUGGAGCAAGGUCCCUUCUUUAUUAAAAUUGACCAUAAAAGCAUCAAUUUUUUGUUGAAGCAGAGGUUACACACAAAUUUACAGCAUAAAAAGAUCUCCAAAUUGUUGGGUUUAGAUUGUAAGAACUUGUAUAAGAGAGGGGUUGAAAACAAAAUGGCUGAUGCUUUGUCUAAGAGGUCACUUAGGGAUGAACAUCACUUGUGCCUCUAUUUCUGCAAUCCAAUCUACUUGGAUGGCAACACCAAUCAGCAUUUAUGAUCAAGAUUCCAAAGAAACAGAGAUGGUGAGUCAUUUAUCCUUGGAUGGGGCAGCACAUCCGGGGUAUGAAUAUAAGCAAGGGUUAUUAUACUAUAAAGGCAAGUUGUAUGGGCAAUUCUACUGAUUUGACGAGGAAAUUAUUAGAUGCCUAUCAUGGUUCAAUGUUAGGGGGCCAUUCAGGAAACCAUGCUACUUAUUUGAGGAUCAAGAAGCAUUUCUAUUUGCCUGAAUUGCUAUCUACAGUGGUAGAGUGAGUGAGAAAGUGUGAUGUUUUUGCUAGAUGCAAAACAAAAACCUGCGCUUCACCAAGUUUACUGUAGCCAUUACCCAUGCCAGAUCAAGCUUGGUAGCACAUCCCAAUGGACUUCAUUGAGCAACUAACAAAACCUGGAGGGAGGACACCUUUUUGGUAGUUAUUUGCAGAUUUACAACUAUGGACAUUUCCUGCCUUUAGGUCAUCAAUUUUCAGCAGCUACUGUUGCCAAAAUUUUCAUGUUCUUCAUGGAGCAGCUCCGUCCAUAGUCUCAAACAGGGCACCAGCCUCUUUUGGAAGGAAUUCUUCAAACUUCUGGGCAGCACACUCUCUUUUAGUUUUGUUUAGCAUCCACAAUGUGAUGGUGAAACAGAUGUUUGAAUCAAUGCUUAGAAAGGUAUUUGAGGUGUAUGACUCACCAUCAACCUGCAGCACGGUCUAAGUGGCUGUCCUUAGCUAAUUGGUUGUACAAUAGUAACUAUCAUAGUGCUAUAAAAAUGACUCCUUUUGAGGCACUCUAUAGUUAUCCACCACCUCAGUUGCCAGCUGUCUUACAGACUGACACCAUAGUAGGCUCAGUAGGAGAUAUGAUUCAUCAGAGGCAGAACAUAAAUAAUCUCCUUAAUAAGAAUUUGUUGCCAGCUCAAAAUAGAAUGAGGCAACAGCCAACAGGAAGAUAAGAAAAGAAAGUAAAAGAUUUUUUGAAGUAGGAGACUGGGUCUAUUUGAAGUUACAGCCCUAUAGACAAAAUUCCAUUGCUCUUCGAAGAAGUCUUAAAUUGUCAGCAAAGUUCUAUGGGCCCUUUCAAGUUGCAGCCAAGGUUGGAGCAAUGGUUUAUAGACUUCAAUUGCCUCCAUCUUCCUCCAUCCAUCCACUGUUUCAUGACUCUUUGCUCAAGAAGAAAAUUGGGGAUAAUGUUACACCAAUUUUGGAUCUACUGAUAACCCAAGAUGAUAUUCUACUGAUAGCCUCUAGAAAAGUUUUGAAGAUCAUGACAAUCAUUAGAAAUGAUCAAUCUAUCCUACAAGAUCCUAUUAAGUGGCAGACUCGGGGACAAUAAGUUUCUCAUGAGGGGGUAUUGCUACAUAUAGAAAGACUAUGUAUAAAAAGAAAAGAAAUAAUGAAGUAGAAGGAGUCGGAAAUUGACUACAGGAGCUGGAGUUAACUCAGAAGGAAUCUAAAGGGAAAUAGAGUGAGCUGGAGCUGACUCAGAAGGAAUUUUUGGAGGGAAAUGUGCAGUAGUUAUUCUAGAUAAGUUUGUUAGGAUCAGUUACAACUGUGGAGGGAAAAUCUGUUAGAAUAGCUAUAAAAGGACGAAGAAAUAACUGUAAUGGCAGAU
rnacentral:misc_RNA from 1 species